CUUGAGGCACAUGCGUGCACGCGGAGAAGGUGUAUACAACAGCAUGUCGCUCUGCGCUGCAUUCACCUGACGUGCUAAAUCGAACCUCAUAGUCCGUUUACGUAUAUAUAGGUACACAUACAUAGCGAACGCGAAUUCACCACAAACGCGGAUUAAUAGCCAGGAGGGAGUAUGCCGGAGAGUCCGUAGCGAUGGCGAUUAAAAAAUACCAUCGAGGGAUGAAUGGCCUUGCCGAAGGAGAUCGAGUUCGGGAGAUAAAAGCCGCGCGAAUGCCCUCAUCUUCUGCCCGGAAUGCACUCGUCUUCAGUUUCACGACAUACUUUUGAUGCGGAUAGAUCCUCUAAAUUCCGCGCUCCUGCUUUCUCCUUCGUGUAUAAAGUAGCAGGCUCUCGUCGUCCUGUGUAUGAAUUCUGUGUAUGAAUUGGCAAGAAAAAUUUUCCAUACAGUGAGUAAUAAUUGAAUAGAGACACUUAUAAUAAAGCCUUUACGGCAAUUAUUAACGACGCAAUUGCGAAAUCUCAAAUGUCAUUUUGUAAGAUGUUUCUAAAUUAUUUACAUGUUUAACGCGUGAUUAAUGUCAUUUGGUAUUCCUUUCAUAUCACUUCUGAAUAAUAAUCCAACCAAAGCAGAUGUUUCAUAUCACUAUUAUUAGACGAUGGAAAUGUCCAAGGAUGUCUGGCUAACCCAGAUAUGUAAGUUCAUCGUGAUCUGCAAUAAUUACAUAAGCAUCUUUUUUUGUAUUAAUAAUCAGUAUCGUAAUUACGCCAUGCUGCACGCAUUUCAUUUAUAUAUGAUUUAUUCAUGAUUUCUAAGUAAAUUAUAUAUUUAAUAAUAUGCGCAAUUUACCUACUAACAUGACGCGCAAUAACGUCUAUGAUCUUCGAUCCUUUCGAAUCAAGUGUUUUGUUCUUUGCAACGGUGCACGUUUAUAUCUAUAAAAGACCAGUGCUUUCAUUAAGAAACAUCAAAGUUGCUCUUCUAUCUCGAAUUUAAUGCUGUUUGAAUGUAAAUUGUAAGACCCUCAUCCUGUUUAAAGUUGAGAACGUUCAAUUAAAAUAUUUUUACAUCGAUCUUGCGUCGAAGAGUUACAAUUUUUUAAUUAUUAAAAUUAUUAUAUAUUUUUUAAGUACAAGCGAUACAAAUUCGUUACAGCGCAAGCUAUAUAGCUAAAAAAAUUGCUCAGUAGGACAAACAUUCGGGAGAAUCGAAAAAUAAAAUAAUAUAUGUGUGCGCCGUACGUAAAAUGCAAGUAAUCUGGUGGAAAAACUCGUCGCCCAUGAUGACACGAAUACACACACGCGAGAGUAAAACCAGUUCUUAUUCGUAUACACCAGCUGGAAUCCCGUUUGCGAGUGUACGUGAAAACCUGCUUCUCGAUCGUAUGCAUGUGUGCGCACUGUUUGCGUUACCGCUUUCGUUUAAGUCAAUGAUACUCGUACACACAUAUAUUGUACGUAUACACACGUACAUUUAAAAUCGCAGAGCUGUGUACGCCACAAACGAAAGUAUAUACACGAGACAGCCUAUAGACCUGCGCCCCAUGAUCUUCCGCGUGCGCGGCCGUUUUACACUUAACAGUUACAAUCCGUGGACCUUCCAAACGAACAAAGAAGAUACGUAUACAUUUGAAAAAUCCACAGAAACGAUGUCUUUUAGAACGACGUCGUUUCUCCCUUCGCGACAGUCGUUCCAGACCAAGUGCCGUUAAACUUGACACACUUCUCGCUCGUGACAGCCCACUAAAUAUAUAAAAUAUGAAUGCUCGCGUCUGUUUAAGUAUCAGUGCUUAAUUAAUCGCGGUGACGCUUAUUAAGCAUAAUUACAAGUUAAUUUUUAUCGUUAAAAUUAUUCGGAGAAAAACGAAACCGGAAUCACGAACGUUAGAAUGUUCGCCAGAACGUCAGUUUUACGCUUUAAAUAAAUCUCCGUGUCUCUCUCUCUCUCUCUCUCUCUCUCUCUCUCUCUCUCUCUCUCUCUCUCUCUUUUUCUCUCGGCAACUUAUUAUUCCACAUUUACUUCUAGACGAGUCGCGCGAUCUUGUUUGUCGAUUUGGUUCACGUAGCGCGAACACACUUGUAAGAGUUAUAAGUGUCCGUAAUUUCGACGAGGUAGAAAUUACGUAAACAUAAUUCAAAUCUUAGUAUGUAAAGUAAUUCUGUUGCGGGAUAUAAAAUAUAAUUAUAGCGAUUAUCGUAAGUACAUCAUUAUGAGAGUCUCGAUUCUAACGCUUGUAGAAUUCUACGUUGCCUGAUAUGUUCUGUUUAGCUUACAAGACUUCCUACAUAAUUGACAAAAUAAAAUAAACAUAUAUAUUAUACAAAGCAAACAUUUUCAUUUCAAGUUAUUAAAAAAAUUCAAUGUUUUAUGAGAGAAUAUAAGGAUCGCAAAAUUAAUUGUGAGACUUUUUUCAUCCGCUAUGACGUUACGCAAUUGAUAUUGUUUACUUAUAUAAUUCUUUACAUUAAUAUUCACACGAUAUUCGUGGUGCGAUUGCAUUACGUACAAAGUGUAAAAGAGCCUUACGGCGUUUCGCAUGAUUGGGAAACGAUUGUCACGCUUCACAUCCACGAUAGUGGUGGGCAUCAAAGCUUUCUUCUUACCCAUCAUCGAAAUCUCCGCGCGG